GUCUACGGCCAUACCAACCUGAUCAUUCCUGAACUCUUCUGAUCUCAGAAGCUAAGCAGGAUCAGGCCUGGUUAGUACUUGGAUGGGAGGCUGCCUGGGAAUACUGGUUUCUGUAGCCU
ensembl:rRNA 5S_rRNA 5S ribosomal RNA